rnacentral:rRNA from 1 species
GACGAACGCUGGCGGCGUGCUUAACACAUGCAAGUCGUACGGUAAGGCCCUUUCGGGGGUACACGAGUGGCGAACGGGUGAGUAACACGUGAGUAACCUGCCCACAACUUUGGGAUAACGCUAGGAAACUGGUGCUAAUACUGGAUAUGUGCUCCUGCUGCAUGGUGGGGGUUGGAAAGCUCCGGCGGUUGUGGAUGGACUCGCGGCCUAUCAGCUUGUUGGUGGGGUAGUGGCCUACCAAGGCGGCGACGGGUAGCCGGCCUGAGAGGGUGACCGGCCACAUUGGGACUGAGAUACGGCCCAGACUCCUACGGGAGGCAGCAGUGGGGAAUAUUGCACAAUGGGCGCAAGCCUGAUGCAGCAACGCCGCGUGCGGGAUGACGGCCUUCGGGUUGUAAACCGCUUUCAGCAGGGACGAAGCUUUUUGUGACGGUACCUACAGAAGAAGCACCGGCUAACUACGUG